AUUGAACGCUGGCGGCAUGCUUUACACAUGCAAGUCGAACGGCAGCGCGGGCUUCGGCCUGGCGGCGAGUGGCGAACGGGUGAGUAAUACAUCGGAACGUGCCCAGUAGUGGGGGAUAGCUCGGCGAAAGCCGGAUUAAUACCGCAUACGACCUGAGGGUGAAAGCGGGGGAUCUUCGGACCUCGCGCUAUUGGAGCGGCCGAUGGCAGAUUAGCUAGUUGGUGGGGUAAAGGCCUACCAAGGCGACGAUCUGUAGCUGGUCUGAGAGGACGACCAGCCACACUGGGACUGAGACACGGCCCAGACUCCUACGGGAGGCAGCAGUGGGGAAUUUUGGACAAUGGGCGAAAGCCUGAUCCAGCAAUGCCGCGUGUGUGAUGAAGGCCUUCGGGUUGUAAAGCACUUUUGGCGGGAACGAAAAGGACUGUGCCAAUACCAUGGUUCGAUGACGGUACCCGCAGAAUAAGCACCGGCUAACUACGUG
rnacentral:rRNA from 1 species